CAAUAGCGUAUAUUAAAAGUUGUUGCGGUUAAAAAGACUCGUAGUUGGAUUUCUGCCGAGGACGACCGGUCCGCCCUCUGGGUGAGUAUCUGGUUCAACCUGGGCAUCUUCUUGGAGAACGUGGCUGCACUUGAUUGUGUGGUGCGGUAUCCAGGACUUUUACUUUGAGGAAAUUAGAGUGCUUCAAGCAGGCACAUUAGCAUGGAAUAAUAAGAUAGGAACCUCGGUUUCUAUUUUUGUUGGUUUCUAGAGCUGAGGUAAUGAUUAAUAGGGAUAGUUGGGGGCAUUUCGUAUUUAAUUGUUCAGAGGUGAAAUUACUUGGAUUUGUUAAAGACGGACGUACUGCGAAAGCAUUUGCCAAGGAUGUUUUCAUUGAUCAAGAACGAAAGUUAGGGGAUCGAAGAUGAUCAGAUACCGU
rnacentral:rRNA from 1 species